rnacentral:rRNA from 1 species
AGUGAACGCUGGCGGUAGGCCUAACACAUGCAAGUCGAACGGCAGCACAGUAAGAGCUUGCUCUUACGGGUGGCGAGUGGCGGACGGGUGAGGAAUACAUCGGAAUCUACUUUUUCGUGGGGGAUAACGUAGGGAAACUUACGCUAAUACCGCAUACGACCUACGGGUGAAAGCAGGGGAUCUUCGGACCUUGCGCGAUUGAAUGAGCCGAUGUCGGAUUAGCUAGUUGGCGGGGUAAAGGCCCACCAAGGCGACGAUCCGUAGCUGGUCUGAGAGGAUGAACAGGCACACGGGAACUGAGGGACGGUCGUGACACCAACGGGAGUCAGCGGUGGGGAAGGGUGGACAGUGGAUGCAAUCCUGAACCGCAAAUACGGGGAGGGUAAAGAAGGCUUUCGGGACUUCAAGCCUUUUAGUUGAAGAAAAAAAUAAGCACGUAAAAACUCCGCUGGACUGACGGUGCCCAAAGAAAAAACACCUACUAACUUGAUA